AGGAUUUAUUCUUGAGGGGGGCCAAAAAAUAUAUAUUCGUCUACCAUUACAAAACAUAUUAUAACACAAACAAACAUAGAUCGAAUUGAUAACUCUUCAUAUCAACAAUUUUAAACCCCAAUUUGUUUCUGCACAUACAUAAUAUAUAUAUAUAUAUACACACACAAUUCAGAGAAAAGAAACAAUUGAAAUACAAUGUAUAGGUGAAAAGGGCCUGCUAAUUUAGACAAUUGGACCACUAUAUCACCACAACUCAGAGAAAUUGCAUGAUUGCCCAAAUAAAAAUUACAUGAGUUGAACUAGAG
rnacentral:lncRNA from 1 species